CCUACGGGAGGCAGCAGUGGGGAAUAUUGCACAAUGGGCGCAAGCCUGAUGCAGCCAUGCCGCGUGUAUGAAGAAGGCCUUCGGGUUGUAAAGUACUUUCAGCGGGGAGGAAGGCGAUGCGGUUAAUAACCGUGUCGAUUGACGUUACCCGCAGAAGAAGCACCGGCUAACUCCGUGCC
rnacentral:rRNA from 1 species